AAAUUGAAGAGUUUGAUCAUGGCUCAGAUUGAACGCUGGCGGCAGGCCUAACACAUGCAAGUCGAACGGUAACAGGAAGCAGCUUGCUGCUUCGCUGACGAGUGGCGGACGGGUGAGUAAUGUCUGGGAAACUGCCUGAUGGAGGGGGAUAACUACUGGAAACGGUAGCUAAUACCGCAUAACGUCGCAAGACCAAAGAGGGGGACCUUCGGGCCUCUUGCCAUCGGAUGUGCCCAGAUGGGAUUAGCUAGUAGGUGGGGUAACGGCUCACCUAGGCGACGAUCCCUAGCUGGUCUGAGAGGAUGACCAGCCACACUGGAACUGAGACACGGUCCAGACUCCUACGGGAGGCAGCAGUGGGGAAUAUUGCACAAUGGGCGAAAGCCUGAUGCAGCCAUGCCGCGUGUAUGAAGAAGGCCUUCGGGUUGUAAAGUACUUUCAGCGGGGAGGAAGGCGACAGGGUUAAUAACCCUG
rnacentral:rRNA from 1 species